AUACGGAGGGGGCUAGCGUUGUUCGGAAUUACAGGGCGUAAAGCGCGUGUAGGCGGAUCGUUAAGUCAGGGGUGAAAGCCCGGGGCUCAACCCCGGAACUGCCCUUGAUACUGGCGAUCUAGAGUCCGGAAGAGGUGGGCGGAAUUCCCGGUGUAGAGGUGAAAUUCGUAGAUAUCGGGAGGAACACCAGUGGCGAAGGCGGCUCACUGGUCCGGCACUGACGCUGAGACGCGAAAGCGUGGGGAGCAAACAGGAUUAGAAACCCCAGUAGUCC
rnacentral:rRNA from 1 species